rnacentral:rRNA from 1 species
AGACCGGUUUACUGGUCGUGCUUUUGUACGUACUGGCAUAAUCGGUUUCUCUUUUCUGACGAACUAUAAUGCCAUUAAUUUGGUGUUAUAGGGAAUCAGGACUGUUACUUUGAAAAAAUUAGAGUGUUUAAAGCAGGCUCACGCUUGAAUACAUUAGCAUGGAAUAACGAAAUAGGACGU